rnacentral:rRNA from 1 species
CGGGUAGAGUACGCGUGGUAACCUGCCUCAUACAGGGGGAUAACAGUUAGAAAUGACUGCUAAUACCGCAUAAGCGCACGGGGAUGCAUAUCUUUGUGUGAGAAACUCCGGUGGUAUGAGAUGGACCCGCGUCUGAUUAGCUAGUUGGUGAGGUAACGGCUCACCAAGGCGACGAUCAGUAGCCGACCUGAGAGGGUGACCGGCCACAUUGGGACUGAGACACGGCCCAAACUCCUACGGGAGGCAGCAG